rnacentral:lncRNA from 1 species
UUUUUGGCGCAAAAAAGAGGUGACAUGCCAAACUACAUUUAUCUAUGUGAAGAUAGCGGUCUUUUUUGUGCAUCCCUUGUGGAUACCUUUGAUAAUGUUGUAUCUGUUAUGCUUACAUCCAAAAAAAAUUGUAAUUUGGGGAAGAUAGGUUCGUGCUUUCGAUUCCUCGUUUUGCCCUUGCUCCUGGCUUUCGAUUCCUCAUUUUGCCCUUGCUCCUGGCUUGACGCCGUUAGAAUAAAAUAUAAGAAAAUUAACUUGACAUCUUUAUCUUUUCCAAGGAAAUAAAGAAAGCUUAGCUGGCUCCCACUCACAUCUCAUCUCUCUCAAAUCCCUAAAUCACUUCCAUAAACCUAAGUCUGCAGAUUUCCCUCAAAGGCUAUGAACGACAGCAUGUAUACUAAAAUCAGAGCUAUAUAUUUCUACUCUUUCACUCUUUCAUCUCUGUCACAGUAGGUUUGAAACCCGUUUGUGCAGGUUUGGGGAGAAAAUCAAACUAGGAAUGGACGACUAUCUUACCCAAAGUAAGCACACUUUAUUUCUCUAUAUAUAUCCUAUGAGACAAUCUUUACUUAUUACUCCUCAUCUGGGUUUUUGUUAUAUCUAGCUUUUCUAAUGUAUUUUUGUCUUUGUGCUUCUAUUUUGUGGUUGCUCAGCAAGAUUUUGUACAAUCAGUUUCUUUUCAAGAUUGUGUUUUCUUGCGUGUCCUCUUUUUGAAUUGUUUGUAAAAGCCUUUUCCUUGUUUCAUUUUCUUUUAAUUAGUUCUUAUCUUCUAUACUCUGUUCAGCAUUUUUUUGCAGUUAGUGCUUAGAGGAACUCCCCCUUUUUAUAUGUAGUUUGGAUUAAAGAUAUGUCGUCAAUUGUUUAUCUUCCGUAAAAAUAGAUCUUCAUUUUGUUUAGAUUGUUUAUUAGUGAAUUCCUAUGUUUUAAUCCUUUUUGUAGCAGGAAUAUAGUGUUGAAUUUUAGACAACCUUUUAGCUUUUGAAAACAUAAUGUAAUAUUUAGUUGGGUUUUUUUCAUCUUCUUUAACUUUUAGUGAGUCUAGUAUAUAUUGGCUUAGUUUUAGAAAGUCUUGUUUGUGGCUUGCUAAUGAAUUUAGCAUUUGGAGUAUUUAUGGCUCAUUUGUAACUCAACAAAAUGAUACCUAACAACUCUAUUUUCAAUCAGCCGCAUUUUAGUUCUAUCGUUGUAGUCGAAAGUAAAAAAUUUCAGAAUCGAGUGUUUGACUUUAGUGCAUUCAUUUUUAGAUAGUUUUAUUAUCUGUCCUUUUCUUAUAUUAGUACUAAGACCGUCAGUGUUGGGUUAGAGUCAAGUUUUCACUUAAUUCAAUUCACAAGCAUGUAAUAAUAUAACUAUAAACAAAAAAUAUAUGGAAUGAGUAACUAGUACACUAGUUGAUAAGUGUUGAACACAGAAAUUAUUUGUUCCUUUUGUUUUGACAAUUAAUUUACAGCUUAUCUCAUUCUUGUGGUAUAUUAUUACUUUUAGAUUCUUAAAUUUAAUCAUUGAUUAAUAAUUUAUUAAUUCUAGCUCAUUGCUAUGAAGGUUAUGUCCUUCUAAUGACCAGAGAAAUUGUUGAUGAGUAACAAUUAGUAAACUAGUUGAUCAGUGUUGAACUGAGAAAUUGUGUGUUCUCCGUUUUCACAAUCAAUUUGCAGCUUACAUUCUCGUGGAGUAUUAUUCGAUUAGUCUAAAAGGUUAUGUGCAUUUU